AAAAAAAAAAGCAAAACCCAAGAUAAAAAUCUUUUAUUGUGCUGAUUACAGACGUUAGGGCAGAGUGUGCUGUGGAAGUGAAUAAUAACACGUCUGAGAAAUCAAGUCCUGAUUCUGAAGACAAGACAUCAGACUAAUGAGACACAAAAGGAAUGCUUAAUGAAUGACAAAGUAUAAGCUUGAUUAUCAGAACAUACCAGAGUGUUACAGCACUGGAGAAGAUAAUAUCCCGUCAAAAAGACGUCCUCUGAGGCUUUACUGGGAGAUCUUCUUAAACUGAUUGUCCUUCCAUCCAAAAACUUCUAUGAUUAAAUAGUUGUGAUUGUAUUAAGUAAACUGAAAAUGCAAUUCCUCAAGUACUGAACUUUUCUGAACUACCUGCCUUCAAGUACGUGAGGAAGUUCCCCUAGGCUCUGUGUACCUGCCUGCUGAGAAAAAGCAAUUUUACAGG